rnacentral:rRNA from 1 species
GGUUUUGCAAGUCUGAUGUGAAAAUGCGGGGCUCAACUCCGUAUUGCGUUGGAAACUGCCAAACUAGAGUACUGGAGAGGUGGGCGGAACUACAAGUGUAGAGGUGAAAUUCGUAGAUAGUUGUAGGAAUGCCGAUGGAGAAGUCAGCCCACUGGACAGAUACUGACGCUGAAGCGCGAGAGCGUGGGUAGCA